rnacentral:rRNA from 1 species
AUUGAACGCUGGCGGCAGGCUUAACACAUGCAAGUCGAGCGGAGAUGAGGUGCUUGCACCUUAUCUUAGCGGCGGACGGGUGAGUAAUGCUUAGGAAUCUGCCUAUUAGUGGGGGACAACAUUCCGAAAGGAAUGCUAAUACCGCAUACGUCCUACGGGAGAAAGCAGGGGAUCUUCGGACCUUGCGCUAAUAGAUGAGCCUAAGUCGGAAUAGCUAGUUGGUGGGGUAAAGGCCUACCAAGGCGACGAUCUGUAGCGGGUCUGAGAGGAUGAUCCGCCACACUGGGACUGAGACACGGCCCAGACUCCUACGGGAGGCAGCAGUGGGGAAUAUUGGACAAUGGGGGAAACCCUGAUCCAGUCAUGCCGCGUGUGUGAAGAAGGCCUUAUGGUUGUAAAGCACUUUAAGCGAGGAGGAGGCUACUGAGACUAAUACUCUUGGAUAGUGGACGUUACUCGCAGAAUAAGCACCGGCUAACUCUGUGCCAGCCGCCGCCGUAA